AAGGCCCUUAACACAGACAUGCGCAUCCAGCACAGCACGCGAUUGACGGCCAGGGGGACCGCCGUGUGACUCAGCACUUUUGCUGGUGGUUAGCGUGUGGAACAAGCACGAGGAAACAUAAGACAGGAAGGAUGCACAUGUGUGGCGUAGCAACACGAGGUCCUGCUGAUAGUUUCAUCUUGUUCCACUUACUGACAGCUGCAGCAACAAUAUGUGUGGAUAUGCACCAACCAAAGCAGGAAGGCCUUCUAAGGAAUCAAACGUGGCAGAGAAUGAAUAGACAGCACCACAGCCAGGAUAACCACCAGUAAGCACAACAGCAGCACCUAUAAUCCAGAAGAUAAAAUGGCAGGAACACUGAAGCAUUAGAGCACUUGGCACCACCACCUGAGAUUGAUAUUACAGGUUUUUAAAGAAAUAAUUAAUGGACUGAUCAUCAUGAAGAUUGAUGCAUAUCUGCGGUACACAGAAGAGGAAUUCAGCUGACUUUCACGAUCUUCUUAUGUUUUCUCAAGCACCAAAAGAAGAUCCUUGAGAAGUUUU